GGUGGCUCAGUAGUAGAGUACUUGCCUUGCAUGCAUGAGGCCCUGGGUUCAAUUCCUCAGCACCA
rnacentral:tRNA from 1 species